AUUGAACGCUGGCGGCAUGCUUUACACAUGCAAGUCGAACGGCAGCGCGGGCUUCGGCCUGGCGGCGAGUGGCGAACGGGUGAGUAAUACAUCGGAACGUGCCCAGUAGAGGGGGAUAGCACGGCGAAAGCCGGAUUAAUACCGCAUACGACAAGAGGGUGAAAGCGGGGGAUCUUCGGACCUCGCGCUAUUGGAGCGGCCGAUGGCAGAUUAGCUAGUUGGUGGGGUAAAGGCCUACCAAGGCGACGAUCUGUAGCAGGUCUGAGAGGACGACCAGCCACACUGGAACUGAGACACGGCCCAGACUCCUACGGGAGGCAGCAGUGGGGAAUUUUGGACAAUGGGCGAAAGCCUGAUCCAGCAAUGCCGCGUGUGUGAUGAAGGCCUUCGGGUUGUAAAGCACUUUUGGCGGGAACGAAAAGGACUGUGCCAAUACCACGGUUCGAUGACGGUACCCGCAGAAUAAGCACCGGCUAACUACGUG
rnacentral:rRNA from 1 species